GAUGAACGCUAGCGGCAGGCUUAACACAUGCAAGUCGAGGGGUAGAGGUUGCUUGCAACCUUGAGACCGGCGCACGGGUGCGUAACGCGUAUGCAACCUACCUUUUACAGAGGGAUAGCCCAGAGAAAUUUGGAUUAAUACCUCAUAGUAUAUAUCUUUCGCAUGUUAGGUAUAUUAAAGUUCCAACGGUAAAAGAUGGGCAUGCGUCCUAUUAGCUAGAUGGUAAGGUAACGGCUUACCAUGGCUACGAUAGGUAGGGGUCCUGAGAGGGAGAUCCCCCACACUGGUACUGAGACACGGACCAGACUCCUACGGGAGGCAGCAGUGAGGAAUAUUGGACAAUGGGCGCAAGCCUGAUCCAGCCAUGCCGCGUGCAGGAAGAAGCAUCUAUGGUGUGUAAACUGCUUUUGUACAGGAAGAAACAUCCCGACGUGUCGGGACUUGACGGUACUGUAAGAAUAAGGAUCGGCUAACUCCGUGCCAGCCGCCGCCGUAAAAC
rnacentral:rRNA from 1 species